GUUACAAAACCACGGGUCUUUCUUCAUCUUUCUUCAGUUUUCAGUCUUUCACACAAGUUAACAACACAGACAGGCAACAACCGGAAAAAAUCAAAAUCCCUAAGACUAAGUCACUAAAUCCUAUAAGCUCCAGAACCGUGCGAUCUAACAAAGCAGUUCGAGAAAAGCAGAUAUCUACACUGAUUCCUUUUAUCCCAAAACUUGUGUCACGGGUGAUUGGAAAUUGGAAGAAUCGCCUUCUCCAGGUUUGACUCAUUCUUUAAGAAUUUGCUUGAUAACUUCUUCAGUAAAUUAUGUUGGCUGAUGUCUCUCUUGCUUUAUGAGAUUGUCUUUUGUCACCGUGUCCGGGGUUCUUGGUUAUAGAUUUUUCUCUUCAAAACUCUACAUGUUCUGUGAAUGGGUCUCUUCAAAUUGCAGACAUGUCCAUGUCCCCUGUAAUGGGUCUCUCACCGAAUUUUUAUGAAUUGAUGGGUCUGUGAAUGGGUUGCUCACCAAAAACAAGUUUGUGAAUGGGUCUCUCAUGGGUUUUCUUCUCGUUUGCUUACCCUUAGAGCACAAUCAAACAUUCCUAACAGCAACAGUCCAUCAGAAACUGAUGAUUCCUCUUCUGCCUCUUCAUCAACCGACCCCUUGCUUAGAAAGCUAGAAGAUGCAAUCCAUCGGAUCAUUGUGCGGCGUGCUGCACCUGAUUGGCUACCUUGCUGUUAUAUUCUAUCAUUUUGUGUUUUGGAUUUAGUGUUUUAUUUUAAGAAAUUGUUAACUAGUUUACUGAUUGUAAUUAGUUUUUGAAUUUAGUAUUAUGGUAAUUCUUUUUUGAUA